rnacentral:rRNA from 1 species
UUCGAUAGAUCCCUUCGGGGUGAAGAUGAAAUGGAUUAGCGGCGGACGGGUGAGUAACACGUGAGUAACCUGCCUUAGACAUUGGGAUAGCCUCGGGAAACCGGGAUUAAUACCAAAUGAAAUCACAUAUGCACAUGCAUAAAUGAUCAAAGCUCCGGCGGUCUAAGAUGGACUCGCGUCCCAUUAGCUAGUUGGUGAGGUAACGGCCCACCAAGGCGACGAUGGGUAGCCGGCCUGAGAGGGUGAACGGCCACAUUGGAACUGAGAAACGGUCCAAACUCCUACGGGAGGCAGCAGUGGGGAAUAUUGCACAAUGGAGGGAACUCUGAUGCAGCGACGCCGCGUGAACGAAGAAGGCUUUCGAGUCGUAAAGUUCUUUUAUAUGGGAAGAUAAUGACGGUACCAUAAGAAAAAGCCCCGGCUAACUACGUGCCAGCAGCCGCGGUAAUACGUAGGGGGCUAGCGUUGUCCGGAAUCACUGGGCGUAAAGGGUUCGCAGGCGGAAAUGCAAGUCAGGUGUAAAAGGCAGUAGCUUAACUACUGUAAGCAUUUGAAACUGCAUAUCUUGAGAAGAGUAGAGGUAAGUGGAAUUUUUAGUGUAGCCGGUGAAAUGCGUAGAUAUUAAAAAGAAUACCGGUGGCGAAGGCGACUUACUGGGCUCAUUCUGACGCUGAGGAACGAAAGCGUGGGUAGCAAACAGGAUUAGAUACCCUGGUAGUCCACGCUGUACACGAUGAGUGCUAGGUAUCGGAAUAAUUCGGUGCCGCAGUUAACACAUUAAGCACUCCGCCUGGGGA